rnacentral:rRNA from 1 species
UAAUACGGAGGGUGCAAGCGUUGUCCGGAUUUACUGGGUGUAAAGGGCGUGUAGGCGGGAAGAUAUGUCGGGAGUGAAAUCGUACGGCUUAACCGUAGCAAUUGCUUCCGAAACUGUUUUUCUUGAAUGCAGCAGAGGCAGAUGGAAUUCCAGGUGUAGCGGUGGAAUGCGUAGAUAUCUGGAAGAACACCAGUUGCGAAGGCGGUCUGCUGGGCUGUGAUUGACGCUGAGGCGCGAAAGUGUGGGGAGCAAACAGGAUUAGAUACCCUGGUAGUCCACACCAUAAACGAUGGUCACUAGUUGUCGGGGGAUUCGACCCCUUCGGCAACGACGCUAACGCAUUAAGUGACCCACCUGGGGAGUACGCUCGCAAGGGUG